UACAGAGGGGGCAAGCGUUGUUCGGAAUUACUGGGCGUAAAGGGCGCGUAGGCGGCCUGCUAAGUCGAACGUGAAAUCCCCGAGCUCAACUCGGGAACUGCGUCCGAUACUGGCAGGCUUGAAUCCGGGAGAGGGAUGCGGAAUUCCAGGUGUAGCGGUGAAAUGCGUAGAUAUCUGGAGGAACACCGGUGGCGAAGGCGGCAUCCUGGACCGGCAUUGACGCUGAUGAGCGAAAGCCAGGGGAGCAAACGGG
rnacentral:rRNA from 1 species